ACGUAGGUGGCAAGCGUUGUCCGGAAUUAUUGGGCGUAAAGCGCGCGCAGGCGGAUAUGUAAGUCUGUCUUAAAAGUUCGGGGCUCAACCCCGUGAUGGGACAGAAACUGUAUAUCUUGAGUGCGGGAGAGGAAAGUGGAAUUCCUAGUGUAGCGGUGAAAUGCGUAGAUAUUAGGAGGAACACCAGUGGCGAAGGCGACUUUCUGGACUGUGUCUGACGCUGAGGCGCGAAAGCCAGGGGAGUGAACGG
rnacentral:rRNA from 1 species